UACGUAGGGGGCAAGCGUUGUCCGGAAUCAUUGGGCGUAAAGAGCGCGUAGGCGGUCCGGUAAGUCCGCUCUGAAAGUCCGGGGCUCAACCCCGGGAGGCGGGCGGAUACUGUCGGGCUAGAGUCCGGAAGAGGCGAGUGGAAUUCCUGGUGUAGCGGUGAAAUGCGCAGAGAUGCGGAGGAACACCGAUGGCGAAGGCAGCCCCCUGGGCCGACAUUGACGCUCAGGCACGAAAGCGUGGGGAGCAAACAGG
rnacentral:rRNA from 1 species